rnacentral:rRNA from 1 species
UACAGAGGUGGCAAGCGUUGUUCGGAAUUACUGGGCGUAAAGGGCGCGUAGGCGGCCUUCUAAGUCAGACGUGAAAUCCCCCGGCUUAACCUGGGAACUGCGUCUGAUACUGGGAGGCUUGAGUACGGGAGAGGGAUGUAGAAUUCCAGGUGUAGCGGUGAAAUGCGUAGAUAUCUGGAGGAAUACCGGUGGCGAAGGCGGCAUCCUGGACCAUAACUGACGCUGAGGCGCGAAAGCUAGGGGAGCAAACGGG